rnacentral:rRNA from 1 species
UACGGAGGGUGCAAGCGUUGUCCGGAAUCACUGGGCGUAAAGGGCGCGUAGGCGGCCUGGUAAGUAGGGGGUGAAAAUCCUGCGGCUUAACCGCAGGGCUGCCUUCUAAACUAGUCAGGCUUGAGCACGGUAGAGGCAGAUGGAAUUCCCGGUGUAGCGGUGGAAUGCGUAGAGAUCGGGAAGAACAUCAGUGGCGAAGGCGGGUCUGCUGGGCCGUUGCUGACGCUGAGGCGCGACAGCGUGGGGAGCAAACAGG